ACUUCAGCCCGAGCGCGGGGUUAGGGCUUCAUUGCCUUGUGUCUUCUGCUCCGGGAGACUUCGGUGAUUCUGCCACUCACUCCGUCGCUCUGUGACCUGCUGGCAUUGAAUGAUUUAUAGCUAAGACUCCAGGACACCCCUGAAGCCGAGAAAUGGAACUCUUAACAUUCAGGGAUGUGGCCAUAGAAUUCUCUCCAGAAGAGUGGAAAUGCCUGGACCCUGCCCAACAGAAUUUAUAUAGAGAUGUGAUGUUGGAGAACUACAGAAACCUGGUCUCCCUGGAUUUUCAAAUUAUAGUUCAAAGAAUGAGUGUCCAACCUUUUGGCUUCCCCGGGUCACAUUGGAAGAAGAAACAUUGUCUUGGGCCACACAUAAAAUACACGAACACUAAUGAUAGCUGAUGUGCUAAAAAGAAAAAAGGUUCAUGCAGUUUUCAUGAUAUUCGUCACCACAGAUAAGCAAAAAGUCCUCUCAUUCAAAGAGCUGGUUGGACACCACUGAUUAAAAGUAUCUACUCACCUUCUAGAUUUUUUAAAUGCCCUGUGUCAUUAAUGAGCUUAGAACAUUGCUAAGCAAAUAUUAAGCCAUCUAUUAUCUUAUUUUUUAAUAACUAUUAUCUUAUAAUUUUGUCUUAUUUAGUAGGGAGCCUGCUGGGACUGUG
rnacentral:sRNA from 1 species